AAUGUAUUUCAAAUUAUGCAUAGAAGGGUUUUGAAUACAUGUUUUAGGUGCAUAAAGAUCUGCUUUGUUGAAUAACGUAAGCAUAAAUGUGGAGAUUUUUUUUUUUUAAGCGGCUAAAGCAACACAUUACGGAGAAAGGUAGGCCGCGAUGGCGUGGGGAAUGAGAAGAAAUCUGCAAGAAUGACUUAUACAUUUACUCUAAAGCAAGUUUUUGAUACUUUUUCUUUAAUAUGCACUUUUAAAAAUAUAUUUUAGCAUGAUUAAUGGUUGAAUAUAAAGCAAACAUUUCUAUGGUUCUUGUGUGAUGAUUUAAGUGCGUUAGACUUCUGAAAAAUAAUGAAGUCAACUUUAAUUCUGACAUGAACCACGUGUUUGUAUCUUAAUUUGAUGUUUUGUUUUGUUUUUUUUUUACUUUAUUUUGUAUGUAAUCGCCUUUUAAUUUAUUUUUUCUUUCAUUCAGAAACAACACAUUUUUUGGGCUGCCCAACUACAAUCCAGGUUUGAUCAAGUGAUGAAGACUGCACAGAUAUACAUUUACAAUCAUGUACCCACAAUGCCUGCAUUCACCCAUUUCCAUUGGUGUAAUUACUGCCACAGACAUACACCAUUCACAAAAAGUUAAAAUGAUUGUGAAAAAUUCAGAUGUCGUAUACAGUGGUUGUAUCUCUUCACAGGUUUUCAGGAUGGGAAAUCAAUUGUUUUGGGGGUGGUAGAUGCAAUGUUUUGUACAUUGCUCACAAAAAUUAAAGGAACACCUUUUUAUUGGGCCUGGCACGAAUUGAAUUCUAUAAUUUUCUUGUUGGUGAAGCAGCUGAGGGCCUCGUUUCACUAUUUUACUCUGAUUUUAUGCUGUUUAGACAAUUGAGCCCUCUGUAGGCUGAACACUUUUAUUUCCAUUAAAACACUUGGCAUCCUUUUGUUCCCAAGACUCUGCCCUGUCGUUAUUUGUAUAGAUAUCCAACUUCAUGUUGAGGUCUGAUGGAACUUUAAAGUGCUCCUUUAAUUUUUGUGAGCUGUGUAUUUUCCACAUAAUGAUCUCAUUGUGUACAGUGUGCCUUUCUUAUCUGCACCAAAACCAAAAAGUUCUAAAAGCCUCCUAAUUACAUGGUUAAUUUGUUAUAUGGGGCUAUAUUUCUUGUUUUAAUUUUUAUACUAAUAAAUAAAUGAAAACUGUUUUC